rnacentral:rRNA from 1 species
CCUACGGGAGGCUGCAGUGGGGGAUAUUGCACAAUGGGCGAAAGCCUGAUGCAGCGACGCCGCGUGAGGGAAGACGGUCUUCGGAUUGUAAACCUCUGUCUUUGGGGAAGAAGAUGACGGUACCCAAAGAGGAAGCUCCGGCUAACUACGUGCCAGCAGCCGCGGUCAUACGUAGGAUCCGAGCAUUAUCCGGAGUGACUGGGUGUAAAGAGUUGCGUAGGUGGCAUAAUAAGUAGCUAGUGGAAUCUGGUGGCUCAACCAUUCAGACUAUUAGCUAAACUGUUGAGCUCGAGUGCGUUAGGGGUAACUGGAAUUUCUGGUGUAGGGGUGAAAUGCGUAGAUAUUAGAAGGAACACCGAUAGCGUAGGCAGGUUGCUGGGACGGUUCUGACACUAAGGCACGAAAGCGUAGGGAGCAAACGGGAUUAGAUACCCCAGUAGUC